GAGUAACGCGUAAGCAAUCUGCCCCUAAGACGAGGAUAACAGUUGGAAACGACUGCUAAGACUGGAUAGGAGACAAGAAGGCAUCUUCUUGUUUUUAAAAGACCUAGCAAUAGGUAUGCUUAGGGAGGAGCUUGCGUCACAUUAGUUAGUUGGUGGGGUAAAGGCCUACCAAGACUAUGAUGUGUAGCCGGGCUGAGAGGUUGAACGGCCACAUUGGGACUGAGACACGGCCCAAACUCCUACGGGAGGCAGCAGUAGGGAAUUUUCGGCAAUGGAGGAAACUCUGACCGAGCAACGCCGCGUGAACGAUGAAGUAUUUCGGUACGUAAAGUUCUUUUAUUAGGGAAGAAUAAAUGAUGGAAAAAUCAUUCUGACGGUACCUAAUGAAUAAGCCCCGGCUAACUAUGUGCCAGCAGCCGCGGUAAUACAUAGGGGGCAAGCGUUAUCCGGAAUUAUUGGGCGUAAAGGGUGCGUAGGCGGUUAAAUAAGUUUAUGGUCUAAGUGCAAUGCUCAACAUUGUGAUGCUAUAAAAACUGUUUAGCUAGAGUAAGAUAGAGGCAAGUGGAAUUCCAUGUGUAGUGGUAAAAUGCGUAAAUAUAUGGAGGAACACCAGUAGCGAAGGCGGCUUGCUGGGUCUUUACUGACGCUGAGGCACGAAAGCGUGGGGAGCAAACAGGAUUAGAUACCCUGGUAGUCCACGCCGUAAACGAUGAGUACUAAACGUUGGGUAAAACCAGUGUUGAAGUUAACACAUUAAGUACUCCGCCUGAGUAGUACGUACGCAAGUAUGAAACUUAAAGGAAUUGACGGGACUCCGCACAAGCGGUGGAUCAUGUUGUUUAAUUCGAAGGUACCCGAAAAACCUCACCAGGUCUUGACAUGCUUCUGCAAAGCUGUAGAAACACAGUGGAGGUUAUCAGUUGCACAGGUGGUGCAUGGUUGUCGUCAGCUCGUGUCGUGAGAUGUUGGGUUAAGUCCCGCAACGAGCGCAACCCUUAUUGUUAGUUACCAGCACGUAAUGGUGGGGACUUUAGCAAGACUGCCAGUGAUAAAUUGGAGGAAGGUGGGGACGACGUCAAAUCAUCAUGCCCCUUAUGACCUGGGCUACAAACGUGAUACAAUGGCUGUUACAAAGGGUAGCUGAAGCGCAAGUUUUUGGCGAAUCUCAAAAAAACAGUCUCAGUUCGGAUUGAAGUCUGCAACUCGACUUCAUGAAGUUGGAAUCGCUAGUAAUCGCGAAUCAGCAUGUCGCGGUGAAUACGUUCUCGGGGUUUGUACACACCGCCCGUCAAACCACGAAAGUUGGCUAAUACCCAAAGCCGGUGGCCUAA
rnacentral:rRNA from 1 species